rnacentral:tRNA from 1 species
CACAACAGAGGUCAAAAUCCUCUCACUUCC